rnacentral:rRNA from 1 species
CUUGGUGACUAUGGCGGAGGGGAAACACCCGUUCUCAUCCCGAACACGGCAGUUAAGCCUUCCAGCGCCGAUGGUACUGCAGAUUUCUGUGGGAGAGCAGGACGUUGCCAAGA